rnacentral:misc_RNA from 1 species
AACAAGGCGUACCUGCGGACCUGCGGAAGGAUCAUUACCGAGUUUACAACUCCCAAACCCCUGUGAACAUACCUAUACGUUGCCUCGGCGGAUCAGCCCGCGCCCUGUAAAACGGGACGGCCCGCCCGAGGACCCUAAACUCUGUUUUUAGUGGAACUUCUGAGUAAAACAAACAAAUAAAUCAAAACUUUCAGCAACGGAUCU